rfam:Gossypium arboreum cultivar AKA8401 contig_23576_5, whole genome shotgun sequence.
AUUCCAUUAUGAAGGCAUCUUCAUAAUAGUUCUUUAAAUCUUUCCCACACCUCAUACAAGAAUUCGUCAUCCAUCUGUUGGAAGAUAGUGAUCUCAUUCCACAACUU